GACGAACGCUGGCGGCGUGCUUAACACAUGCAAGUCGAACGGAAAGGCCCUGCUUGCAGGGUGCUCGAGUGGCGAACGGGUGAGUAACACGUGGGUGAUCUGCCCCUUACUUUGGGAUAAGCCUGGGAAACUGGGUCUAAUACUGGAUAGGACCAUGCUGUAGGUGGUGUGGUGGAAAGAUUAGUUUCGGUAAGGGAUGAGCUCGCGGCCUAUCAGCUUGUUGGUGGGGUAAUGGCCUACCAAGGCGUCGACGGGUAGCCGGCCUGAGAGGGUGGACGGCCACAUUGGGACUGAGAUACGGCCCAGACUCCUACGGGAGGCAGCAGUGGGGAAUAUUGCACAAUGGGCGCAAGCCUGAUGCAGCGAUGCCGCGUGGGGGAUGACGGCCUUCGGGUUGUAAACUCCUUUCAGCCAUGACGAAGCCCUUGUGGUAACGGUAGUGGUAGAAGAAGCACCGGCUAACUACGUG
rnacentral:rRNA from 1 species